rnacentral:rRNA from 1 species
UACAGAGGUCUCAAGCGUUGUUCGGAUUCAUUGGGCGUAAAGCGCGUGUAGGCGGCGUGGCAAGUCGGAUGUGAAAGCCCACGGCUCAACCGUGGAAGUGCAUCCGAAACUGCAUGGCUGGAGUCUCGGAGAGGAAGGUGGAAUGCUUGGUGUAGAGGUGAAAUUCGUAGAUAUCAAGCAGAACACCUGCGGCGAAGGCGGCCUUCUGGACGAUGACUGACGCUGAGACGCGAAAGCGUGGGGAGCAAACAGG